AGACCUCAGAUCAGGCAAGACUACCCGCUGAGUUUAAGCAUAUCAAUAGCCGGGAGGGAA
rnacentral:rRNA from 1 species